CAAAGUGUUUCUAAUGAUUGAUACGACCUCGUCUUUAUCCUCCCUGCUCUGCAGGUGAUUCUUGUCUCUAUGAAACAAUCAGAGGCUCUGAAGAACCUGAACAUGAGAAGCACGAUGAACCAGACGAGAGCCCCGUUUACUCCAAUGUGAGGAUUCCAUCAGCUGCAGAUGACAACGUGACGUUUGUCCAGGUUCACCCCCCCACUGGAAAGAAGAAGAAUAAAGGAAAAUCCAGAUGUGUUGCAGAAGAGGAAUCUGUUUAUUCUCAAGUCAAACAAGGAACAUCUGAGCCAUGAUGCUUCCCCCCAGGGACACGAGAACCCUUCAUCUGAUGGAGACAUUUCAUCAUCUGCCCAAACAGUUUUAGGUUUUUCAGGGUUUUUCAUGUCCAGGGACACGGAUCAAAGUAAAGUGCUGUAUAUCUCCUGCUAAAAUGAAGCAUCAGCAAAUAGAGACUCAUCAAAAUGGGAGCUGGUGCUGCUGCUCUGUGGACACAUCUUUAUAGUCUUCUGAAUGCUACUCAAAUCUUUAUUUUAAAUGUUGCAUAUAGUCUAAAGUUGCAUAAAGCCUUCUGCUUGUACCCUUACAUCCCUCUGUAAUACUUGGUCCCAGUAAAAGUGGAUAAAUAGCAUUUCACAUGGAGUGGGUGUCCCUUUUAUGUCUAAGAUUGUAUUUUUUUCCACAUAUACUUACCGACGUCUCGUAACGUCACAAGAUAUUUAGAGUUGCAAAAGGAACGGGUCCAUUUCAAAGGGACGUUUGCAUUUAGCAACUGAUGGCUGUAAGAAAGCAUCAAAAGCUUUAAGAGUAAAUCAACAAACUCCUUUCAGCCUUUGUGAGGGAUUUAAGAAGAAGUGCAAACCCAGCGGUGGGAAGUAUAUUACAUGUAGUAAUGUUUAGUGUAGAAUUGUAGU